UCCGCUGCAGGAUGGAUGGGACACAACCGGGUUUAAGAACUGACAAACACAUUCAUGUUUCUGUUUACUUCAGUGUGAAAAUGACUCCUGAAAUCUGCUUUAGUUCAGUCAUCGAACGCAUCAUAGAUCGGUCACUCCCUGCUUUUUCAUAUUUUAGGGACUGCUGGUUUUGUUCAGGUUCUCGUGGUUGGUCUGAUUAAACCACUCGCUCAGAGUUUUCACCAAUAACUAAAAGGUGUUCCACAGGGUUCUGUGUUUGGCCCAGUUCUACAAACGGUCCCUGCUUGAAACUGGAGCACCAGAUGGAGGAAAGAUUGUUUUACAAGUAAACAAAAGGAUCUGGAGGUUUUGAGGCUUACUUGGCGAUGACUGGGAUGGAAACAGCCUGAGCGACGGCCUGAAUGUAAUCGCAGUGGACGGGAUGUCUGGGACGCUCCUCCUUCAACCUGAACAGCACCAAAAUGUUGCAGGUAAGCACAUCACGGAGGAAGCAGACA